rnacentral:rRNA from 1 species
GUGCCAGCAGCCGCGGUAAUACAGAGGGUGCAAGCGUUGUUCGGAAUUAUUGGGCGUAAAGCGCGUGUAGGCGGUCCAUCAAGUCGGGUGUGAAAGCCCUCGGCUCAACCGAGGAAGUGCGCCCGAAACUAAUGGACUUGAGUGCCGGAGAGGGUGGCGGAAUUCCCGGUGUAGAGGUGAAAUUCGUAGAUAUCGGGAGGAACACCAGUGGCGAAGGCGGCCACCUGGACGGUAACUGACGCUGAGACGCGAGAGCGUGGGGAGCAAACAGGAUUAGAUACCCCUGUAGUCC